GAUGAACGCUGGCGGCGUGCCUAAUACAUGCAAGUCGAGCGAACAGAUGAGGAGCUUGCUCCUCUGACGUUAGCGGCGGACGGGUGAGUAACACGUGGAUAACCUACCUAUAAGACUGGGAUAACUUCGGGAAACCGGAGCUAAUACCGGAUAAUAUAUUGAACCGCAUGGUUCAAUAGUGAAAGACGGUUUUGCUGUCACUUAUAGAUGGAUCCGCGCCGCAUUAGCUAGUUGGUAAGGUAACGGCUUACCAAGGCAACGAUGCGUAGCCGACCUGAGAGGGUGAUCGGCCACACUGGAACUGGGACACGGUCCAGACUCCUACGGGAGGCAGCAGUAGGGAAUCUUCCGCAAAGGGCGAAAGCCUGACGGAGCAACGCCGCGUGAGUGAUGAAGGUCUUCGGAUCGUAAAACUCUGUUAUUAGGGAAGAACAAAUGUGUAAGUAACUAUGCACGUCUUGACGGUACCUAAUCAGAAAGCCACGGCUAACUACGUG
rnacentral:rRNA from 1 species